AUGAGCCAAUCUGAGAUCGAAGAAGACGUGGCAAACGGUGUUCGAUAUCGUGAGUUUAAGAUUGUCCAAUUGGAAACACAAACACCUUUCACUCGGAGGUGGUUUAUAGUGCUUGCGGUGCUUCCUAAAGAUAGAUGGGAUCAUUUUGAGCAGUUUGGAUUUCUCAUGGAUGGGGAUAAAAGAUCAGUUAAAGGUGAUAGAGUCAUUUGGUUUGCUUGCAUUUGGAGCAUAUGGAAAGCUCGAAAUACUAGCAUAUUCAAGAACAAGAAUAUUCUGAUUGAUCAAUUAUUUGAAGAAGUCCAAAGACUUUCCUGGUGUUGA